UAGGGAAUAUUGGACAAUGGGGGCAACCCUGAUCCAGCCAUGCCGCGUGAGUGAAGAAGGCCCUCGGGUUGUAAAGCUCCUUUGUCCGGAAAGAAAAGCUUCGGGUUAAUACCCCGGGGUUCUGACGGUACCGGAAGAAUAAGCACCGGCUAACUUCGUGCCAGCAGCCGCGGUAAUACGAAGGGUGCAAGCGUUACUCGGAAUUACUGGGCGUAAAGCGUGCGUAGGUGGUUGUUUAAGUCUGAUGUGAAAGCCCUGGGCUCAACCUGGGAAUGGCAUUGGAAACUGGGCAGCUAGAGUGCGGUAGAGGGUAGUGGAAUUCCCGGUGUAGCAGUGAAAUGCGUAGAGAUCGGGAGGAACAUCUGUGGCGAAGGCGACUGCCUGGACCAGCACUGACACUGAGGCACGAAAGCGUGGGGAGCAAACA
rnacentral:rRNA from 1 species